ACAGGGAUUGCCUCAGUAACGGCGAGUGAAGCGGCAAGAGCUCAAAUUUGAAAUCUGGCCCCUCCGGGGUCCGAGUUGUAAUUUGUAGAGGAUGCUUCGGGUGCGGCCCCCGUCUAAGUGCUCUGGAACGGGCCAUCGGAGAGGGUGAGAAUCCCGUCUGGGACGGGGUGUCCGCGUCCAUGUGAAGCUCCUUCGACGAGUCGAGUUGUUUGGGAAUGCAGCUCUAAAUGGGUGGUAAAUUUCAUCUAAAGCUAAAUACUGGCCGGAGACCGAUAGCGCACAAGUAGAGUGAUCGAAAGAUGAAAAGCACUUUGAAAAGAGAGUUAAACAGCACGUGAAAUUGUUGAAAGGGAAGCGCUUGCGACCAGACUCGCUUCCGGGGUUCAGCCGGCUUUCGGGCCGGUGUACUUCCCCGGGGGCGGGCCAGCGUCGGUUUGGGCGGCCGGUCAAAGGCCCCUGGAAUGUAACGCCCCUCGGGGCGCCUUAUAGCCAGGGGUGUCAUGCGGCCAGCCUGGACCGAGGAACGCGCUUCGGCACGGACGCUGGCAUAAUGGUCGUAAACGACCCGUCUUGAAACACGGACCAAGGAGUCUAACAUCUACGCGAGUGUUCGGGUGUCAAACCCGUGCGCGCAGUGAAAGCGAACGGAGGUGGGAGCCCCCUCGAGGGGCGCACCAUCGACCGAUCCUGAUGUCUUCGGAUGGAUUUGAGUAAGAGCGUAGCUGUGGGGACCCGAAAGAUGGUGAACUAUGCCUGAAUAGGGCGAAGCCAGAGGAAACUCUGGUGGAGGCUCGCAGCGGUUCUGACGUGCAAAUCGAUCGUCAAAUUUGGGUAUAGGGGCGAAAGACUAAUCGAACCAU
rnacentral:rRNA from 1 species